rnacentral:tRNA from 1 species
GCUUCCGUAGCUCAGCUGGAUAGAGUACUCGGCUACGUACCGAGCGGUCGGAGGUUCGAAUCCUCCCGGAUGCACCA